rnacentral:rRNA from 1 species
CGUAGGUGGCAAGCGUUGUCCGGAUUUAUUGGGUUUAAAGGGUGCGUAGGCGGUCUAUUAAGUCAGUGGUGAAAUACUCUAGCUCAACUAGAGGGGUGCCACUGAUACUGAUGGACUUGAGUACAGAUGAGGUAGGCGGAAUUGACGGUGUAGCGGUGAAAUGCUUAGAUAUCGUCAAGAACACCUAUAGCGAAGGCAGCUUACUAGGCUGUAACUGACGCUGAGGCACGAAAGUGUGGGGAUCAAACAGGAUUAGAUACCCUGGUAGUCCACACUGUAAACGUUGAUUACUCGCUGUGUGCGAUAUACAGUACGCGGCCAAGCGAAAGCGAUAAGUAAUCCACCUGGGGAGUACGCCGGCAACGGUG